AUGCACACACCCUCACUGUGUCGCCAUUCGCUGGAGAGGCGGACAUCUGUCCACCAGACCCUGGCUCCAUGUACGUCAUCGUCAUGAGUGGCAUGCCCCUCAACUGCAGUGUGGCCAACGGUUACCGGAUCCUUGAAGCCCUCUACCCCUACAACUGGGAGGCUUUGGACAAGGCCUACCACAGUGGAUACAGUGAUGGCCUUCACUUUCUACAAACCAGUGACCUGGUCCCAUGUCUGCCUCUUCUGAACACUCCAUCAGAGCAUCAGUCCUUUCCUCCUGACGGAUGGACAGAUCUGGAAACAGACUGGGAGGAGGAGAAGGAGGUGGAAGAAGAAGAGGAACAAAUAGAGAGGCAGGAAAAGAUGAAGAGAGAGGAGCAAACGAAGGAGGAGGAGGAGGAGGAAGAAGAAGAGGAACAAAUAGAGAGGCAGGAAAAGAUGAAGAGAGAGGAGCAAACGAAGGAGGAGGAGGAGGAGGAAGAAGAAGAGGAACAAAUAGAGAGGCAGGAAAAGAUGAAGAGAGAGGAGCAAAUGAAGGAGGAGGAGGAGGAGGAGGAGGAGGAAGAAGAGGAGAAGGAGGAGGAGGAGGAAGAAGAGGAGGAGGAAGAGGAGUGGUCCUCCCUGACAGAGACCAGAGGCAAUCAGAGAAAUUACUCUCUUGAAGGGGGAGAUCUACCCUGGAAUCUGGCAAACCCAGAGCUGGCCAUGUAUCUAGCCUUGCCCAUCUGGAUUCACACAGGUAUGGUACACACGCACACCGAGUGA
rnacentral:lncRNA from 1 species